UGGGGAAUAUUGCACAAUGGGCGCAAGCCUGAUGCAGCCAUGCCGCGUGUAUGAAGAAGGCCUUCGGGUUGUAAAGUACUUUCAGUCGGGAGGAAGGUGGUAAGGUUAAUAACCUUAUCAAUUGACGUUACUGACAGAAGAAGCACCGGCUAACUCCGUGCCAGCAGCCGCGGUAAUACGGAGGGUGCAAGCGUUAAUCGGAAUUACUGGGCGUAAAGCGCACGCAGGCGGUUGAUUGAGUCAGAUGUGAAAUCCCCGGGCUUAACCCGGGAAUUGCAUCUGAUACUGGUCAGCUAGAGUCUUGUAGAGGGGGGUAGAAUUCCAUGUGUAGCGGUGAAAUGCGUAGAGAUGUGGAGGAAUACCGGUGGCGAAGGCGGCCCCCUGGACAAAGACUGACGCUCAGGUGCGAAAGCGUGGGGAGCAAACAGG
rnacentral:rRNA from 1 species